GGAUCAAUGAUGAAUGUCUGUGAGCAUUCUUAGAGUCAUGAAUCAUGACGACAAAUUUAAUUCUGAGAUCAACAUCAUAAAGUAUCCAGUGACAGCUAUAAGAAGUAGUCUUCUUUUAUAAGUCAGUAAAUGUAAAUAAAAAUUGACUAGGAAGUCAUUUAAUCAAAAGGCAGCUCACAAAGAAGACUACAUAUAUGUAUAUAUGUAUAUAUGUAAGAAGAAAGUGUGACAGAGUAAUGACCAUGGAGGUGAGGGAUAAGAUGAAAUGAGCAGAAGCAGGCAGAAUACAUAGAUAAGCGAACGGAACAUCAAUCUCUUUAUAACCUCUUCUGUCUAUACUUCAAGAAUGGAUAUCCUGCAAGUCGGCUUCGUAGAGUCUCCCUUGAAAGUGGACCUCAUGAUCUAGCCUUUAUGUCCGUGGAUUGACACUGUGAUGGAUUCCCCCCAAGUUCAUUUAGAUAUUCUCUCUUAUUCAUAAAUGUCACGGUCAGCUCUGUUCUUAUAGAUACCAGAAUGGAUACCCCAAGAAUGGAUACCCCUAAGCUGAUGUAUAUACACCCUUCCUCGGUUGUGAGAUUCCUGCUCUGGUGGUUGUAGUCAUAAGAUAUACAUCGUUGCGUACACCUUGGUUGUGGGCACGCACACUACUGUUGAAUUACCACCUUGUCCAAGUGGAUGGAUGCCCUCAAUGGGAUUGGCACUUUCUCCAUUGCUCCUGCACUCUGUUAUCAGCACUUCGGGUUCAUAAUGUACACACAGCAAUGGAUUUUCUGCAGCUGAUUUUCUAUAUUCUGUUUUCUUCGGGUAAGCAGAAACAGAUGCCUUCCUCACUGGUCACCAGGUUCAAGGUCCCUCAUAUGUGUCAGGUGCAUAGUCACCAACAAAGGCCAACUUCACAUCAAUGGGUGGAUCGUACCUCGGCCUAAGCUCCAGGAUUGAUUGUGCUGUUAGAGUCACAGCUACAACCGGCUCAGGGAACCCAGUGGAAGAGGAGGUGGAGUGUGAGAGCCAAUUGGAAUGGAAGACAGUGAGGAAACAAGGCCUUCGAGACACAAGAGGACUGCUGAGCUCACAAAGACUGAGGCAGCACCCUCAGGACCUGCACAGGUCUAAGCUUGAUGCGAUCUGAGUACUGAGAGGGCAACUGGACACAAUUCUAUAUUGAUAACCCAGAAGCUUUCUCCAGUUGAUAAACUCUUUCAAAGGAAAAACUUGUUUUCUACCAUGGAGUGACACUGGAUAUAGAAACUACCGUUAACAGCAGACUCCAUGGCUCAGACUUCCAAUACAAUAUGAACUCAGUUGCAAUUUUUUGCAAGGUUUUUCGACUCAUAGUUCUUUGUCUGGGUACUUUUUCACCCUACAGAGAAUUUCUGUAUAUAUUAUCGUUUCUGAUUCUAGUGUUUUGAAUUUUCGCUGGGUCUAAAUAUCUCUGUCUCAGUGUCAGUAUGUGUUUCUCAUGAUUUUUCUUUGCUUCUCUUUUUCCUAUUCUUUGCUUGUAUUCCCUGGUUUGUGUUUGAGUGUCUGGGAACUCUGAGGGUCUGGUUGGUGAUAUUGUUGUUCUUCCUAUGGGGUUGAAAACCCCUUCAGCUCCUUCAGCCUUUCACUAAGUCCUCCAUUAUUAUGAUUCCUAUGCUCAGUCCAGUGGUUGGAUGUGAGCCCCCCCCCCCCUCUGCAUUUGUCAGGCUCCGGCAGAGCCUCUAAGGAGAUAGCUAUAUUAGGCUCUUGUCAGCUUUGUUUGUUUUUAUUCUGUCUUCUCUAUACUGUUUAUUUUAGAUAACUGUGUUUAUUCUAAUGUAUGAAUGAAUAAAUGGGUGUGUGUUUGGGUGGGUGGGGAAUUGGGGAGGGUGGGGGUGGAUGUGGGAGGGGAAACUGUAACACAAAUACAUUGUAUAAAAGUACAUUUUAAUAAAUGUAUUUCUUCUAUGACUAAAAAAA
rnacentral:lncRNA from 1 species